rnacentral:rRNA from 1 species
GAUGAACGCUAGCUACAGGCUUAACACAUGCAAGUCGAGGGGCAGCAUGGUCUUAGCUUGCUAAGGCCGAUGGCGACCGGCGCACGGGUGAGUAACACGUAUCCAACCUGCCGUCUACUCUUGGACAGCCUUCUGAAAGGAAGAUUAAUACAAGAUGGCAUCAUGAGUCCGCAUGUUCACAUGAUUAAAGGUAUUCCGGUAGACGAUGGGGAUGCGUUCCAUUAGAUAGUAGGCGGGGUAACGGCUCACCUAGUCUUCGAUGGAUAGGGGUUCUGAGAGGAAGGUCCCCCACAUUGGAACUGAGACACGGUCCAAACUCCUACGGGAGGCAGCAGUGAGGAAUAUUGGUCAAUGGGCGAGAGCCUGAACCAGCCAAGUAGCGUGAAGGAUGACUGCCCUAUGGGUUGUAAACUUCUUUUAUAAAGGAAUAAAGUCGGGUAUGGAUACCCGUUUGCAUGUACUUUAUGAAUAAGGAUCGGCUAACUCCGUG